rnacentral:rRNA from 1 species
CUUCUCCGAGAUGCUUUGGUGCUCAUCGGGUAACUCUGUAGACAGGUGCUGNAUGNCUGUCGUCAGCUCGUGUUGUGAAAUGUUGGGUUAAGUCCCGCAACGAGCGCAACCCUUAUCCUUUGUUGCCAGCGGUUCGUGCCGGGAACUCNNAGGAGACUGCCAGUGAUAAACUGGAGGAAGGUGGGGAUGANGUCAAGUCAUCAUGGCCCUUACGAGUAGGGCUACACACGUGCUACAAUGGCGUAUACAAAGAGAAGCGACCUCGCGAGAGCAAGCGGCACCUCAUAAAGUACGUCGUAGUCCGGAUUGGAGUCUGCAACUCGACUCCAUGANC